CAGUAGCCGCGGUAAUACAGAGGGUGCGAGCGUUAAUCGGAUUUACUGGGCGUAAAGCGUGCGUAGGCGGCUUCUUAAGUCGGAUGUGAAAUCCCUGAGCUUAACUUAGGAAUUGCAUUCGAUACUGGGAAGCUAGAGUAUGGGAGAGGAUGGUAGAAUUCCAGGUGUAGCGGUGAAAUGCGUAGAGAUCUGGAGGAAUACCGAUGGCGAAGGCAGCCAUCUGGCCUAAUACUGACGCUGAGGUACGUAAGCAUGGGGAGCAAACAGGAUUAGAGACCCCAGUAGUCCCUGUCUCUUAUAC
rnacentral:rRNA from 1 species